CUCUCUACUCAGCAUACGUUUACAGUGCAGUCGAAAGGAAUACGGCCGAAAGGUUAUCGAUACAGUAUACGAAACUUCAAUGCCAUAUUCGUCUUGUUUAAGUUAAACAAUGAUGAAAUAUUUUGUAAUUCUCCUUCUCCCGACAUGUCUACUGUGCGCGGUUGAAGACAGAAGCUCGGCGCAAGAGAAUAUUGUCGCAUUCAAGGUAUAUAAAGUUCGUUGUAAAAAAAUUCGUCUUUAAGAUAUAUGAAGGGGCCUUAGCAGGCCAUUUUUAACUAUGUAUUACUGGAGGAUUUACCGCAGUGCGCCCUUUGCUUGCGCCAAGAAUGAGGCAAGAUUUUCAGAUGAGCUGGGACUUUUUUGUAAUUUCUUAAAAAAACGCUCUGGGCUUUAGGUUUUGUUCACAAGAGAUUGAAUGAGUUCGAAAUCAUAUUCAAAUUUGCACAAUUUCGCCUUCGAGUUCACAUGGGACGUUUAAACGCGGAGGAAUUGCCGUUUGUACACAAAUGGAACCGGAACGAACGAUUUGCGUGCGGUUUCAAAUUCGUCUGGUCUCCCUUGUAAACGUCGUCUUAAUUAGCAUGUGAGGAAGCCAGAACUUUCAUUCGUUUUAGUGAAGAAUUACUGAGCAGAAAUGAAUUCCCCAAUAGGCCCUAGCCAUUGCUCAGACUCUAUACUAGCUGAUAUACAUCAUGCAUUUUAUAUUGCGAUUAGUAAUGGUACACCAGAUUAGCUUUAUUAACUCGUCUGAAUAACGGACCAUUACUCUGUUAAAUUUAAUGCUUUACGUUCAGCACAAUAAGUCAUUUGUUUACAAUAAUCCACAUUUUCAAAUAUACCUUUUGUUGCAGCUGUUUUUGUGGCGUUAAUAAGGUGUUAUAUAAAACUUAUUGUUUCUAAUAGUAUAAAACAGCAGCUGUAUACAGGAGAUAUCGUUAUCUAAAAAAAUAACACAUCGGUUUGUAAUCAUACCAUUUUCUAUUUGCGUUCAUAGGUGAAACGAGAUGCGGUAUUGGAAUCAGGGGAAAGCCAAGGUACCACCAAGUUUAGCGCAAAUGUACAACAAAAUACAUUUUGCGCAUUUAAAUGUUGCUGCGUUUAUACAUUAUUUCAUUAACGUAAGGCGCGCGAGCCUGUAUGACGCAAUCGUAUCGCGCUGUUUAUAUGGUG